GGGCCUGUAGCUCAGCCGGUUAGAGCAGGGGACUCAUAAUCCCUUGGUCCUGGGUUCGAAUCCCAGCGGGCCCA
rnacentral:tRNA from 1 species